rnacentral:rRNA from 1 species
AUUGAACGCUGGCGGCAUGCCUUACACAUGCAAGUCGAACGGCAGCGGACCUUCGGGUGCCGGCGAGUGGCGAACGGGUGAGUAAUAUAUCGGAACGUACCUUUCAGUGGGGGAUAACGUAGCGAAAGUUACGCUAAUACCGCAUAUUCUGUGAGCAGGAAAGCAGGGGAUCGCAAGACCUUGCGCUGAUUGAGCGGCCGAUAUCAGAUUAGCUAGUUGGUGAGGUAAAGGCUCACCAAGGCGACGAUCUGUAGCGGGUCUGAGAGGAUGAUCCGCCACACUGGAACUGAGACACGGUCCAGACUCCUACGGGAGGCAGCAGUGGGGAAUUUUGGACAAUGGGCGCAAGCCUGAUCCAGCCACGCCGCGUGAGUGAAGAAGGCCU